rnacentral:lncRNA from 1 species
UGGUUGGUAGUGGGUUAGUGUACCUUGGGUAUCGGGUUCGAGUCCUCAGGAGUGUUUUGAAGGACUAUUUUUGUUUUGUUUUAAAGGUUUAGAUAAUUAUUCUCUUUACUUAGUGUUUAUUAUUAUUACGAUUGUUUUUAUUUUUGGGUUCUUCUUUUUCUCUCUGGACAUUCUCCUCUUCCUAUUUCUUUUGGUUUUCUUUUUGUUUCUUUUUCUUUUCUAUUUUGAAAAUAGAGGUGUUG